AGCGGCGGAUGGGUGAGUAACACGUGGGGAACCCGCCCCUAAGUCUGGGAUACCAUUUGGAAACAGGUGCUAAUACCGGAUAAUAAAGCAGAUCGCAUGAUCAGCUUUUGAAAGGCGGCGUAAGCUGUCGCUAAGGGAUGGCCCCGCGGUGCAUUAGCUAGUUGGCAAGGUAACGGCUUACCAAGGCGACGAUGCAUAGCCGAGUUGAGAGACUGAUCGGCCACAUUGGGACUGAGACACGGCCCAAACUCCUACGGGAGGCAGCAGUAGGGAAUCUUCCACAAUGGACGCAAGUCUGAUGGAGCAACGCCGCGUGAGUGAAGAAGGUUUUCGGAUCGUAAAGCUCUGUUGUUGGUGAAGAAGGAUAGAGGUAGUAACUGGCCUUUAUUUGACGGUAAUCAACCAGAAAGUCACGGCUAACUACGUGCCAGCAGCCGCGGUAAUACGUGGGUGGCAAGCGUUGUCCGGAUUUAUUGGGCGUAAAGCGAGCGCAGGCGGAAAAAUAAGUCUAAUGUGAAAGCCCUCGGCUUAACCGAGGAACUGCAUCGGAAACUGUUUUUCUUGAGUGCAGAAGAGGAGAGUGGAACUCCAUGUGUAGCGGUGGAAUGCGUAGAUAUAUGGAAGAACACCAGUGGCGAAGGCGGCUCUCUGGUCUGCAACUGACGCUGAGGCUCGAAAGCAUGGGUAGCGAACAGGAUUAGAUACCCUGGUAGUCCAUGCCGUAAACGAUGAGUGCUAAGUGU
rnacentral:rRNA from 1 species